AUGUUAGCGGCGGACGGGUGCACUUAUACACGUGGGUAACCUGCCUGUAAGACUGGGAUAACUCCGGGAAACCGGGGCUAAUACCGGAUGGUUGUUUGAACCGCAUGGUUCAAACAUAAAAGGUGGCUUCGGCUACCACUUACAGAUGGACCCGCGGCGCAUUAGCUAGUUGGUGAGGUAACGGCUCACCAAGGCAACGAUGCGUAGCCGACCUGAGAGGGUGAUCGGCCACACUGGGACUGAGACACGGCCCAGACUCCUACGGGAGGCAGCAGUAGGGAAUCUUCCGCAAUGGACGAAAGUCUGACGGAGCAACGCCGCGUGAGUGAUGAAGGUUUUCGGAUCGUAAAGCUCUGUUGUUAGGGAAGAACAAGUACCGUUCGAAUAGGGCGGUACCUUGACGGUACCUAACCAGAAAGCCACGGCUAACUACGUGCCAGCAGCCGCGGUAAUACGUAGGUGGCAAGCGUUGUCCGGAAUUAUUGGGCGUAAAGGGCUCGCAGGCGGUUUCUUAAGUCUGAUGUGAAAGCCCCCGGCUCAACCGGGGAGGGUCAUUGGAAACUGGGGAACUUGAGUGCAGAAGAGGAGAGUGGAAUUCCACGUGUAGCGGUGAAAUGCGUAGAGAUGUGGAGGAACACCAGUGGCGAAAGGCGACUCUCUGGUCUGUAACUGACGCUGAGGAGCGAAAGCGUGGGGAGCGAACAGGAUUAGAUACCCUGGUAGUCCACGCCGUAAACGAUGAGUGCUAAGUGUUAGGGGGUUUCCGCCCCUUAGUGCUGCAGCUAACGCAUUAAGCACUCCGCCUGGAGGAGUACGG
rnacentral:rRNA from 1 species